rnacentral:rRNA from 1 species
UACGUAGGGUGCAAGCGUUAAUCGGAAUUACUGGGCGUAAAGCGUGCGCAGGCGGUGAUGUAAGUCAGACGUGAAAUCCCUCGGCUUAACCGGGGAACUGCGUCUGAUACUGGAUGGCUUGAGUUUGGGAGAGGGAUGCGGAAUUCCAGGUGUAGCGGUGAAAUGCGUAGAUAUCUGGAGGAACACCGGUGGCGAAGGCGGCAUCCUGGACCAACACUGACGCUGAGGAGCGAAAGCCAGGGGAGCAAAACGGGG